UGCACGGUGGAUUAGUGGUUAGUUCGGUUGCCUCACAUUGCCAGGGUCGGGGGAUCGAUUCUCUCCGUGGAG